ensembl:lncRNA
UCAUAAAACAUGGGAGAGGGGCUUAGCAGAGAAGGAAGCAGGAAGGAGCAGGAAGAUUUGCUCCAUCGUUGAGCGUCCUUCCUUUUACUGAGAAGCUCAGUGGAAGAGGAAGCAUAGUUCUUCUGGAGUGAUUGGAAAGGCUCAACGAGUGUCUGCCCUGCACCGAUGAACCAGUCCACUGGCAGAAGACCACAGCCCAGCUCUGAGCAGGUCUAGCCUCUACACACAAGUCUCCAUGAAGUCUGGCUCCUUGCCAAGCAGUGAAAAGAAAUUGGGAGUAAAUUAUGGACAAUGAUAAGCUCUCUUAGACUGUUGGAAAUAUCUAGAGUGAGGAAUGCUAGGGAGGGGUUAGACUUCUCCUCUAAACACAUGGAGAUGAGCAUCAUCAGGAUCUGGAGUAAUGUUGGGAGACUUAUCCUCAUGUGCACCCACAGACUGGCCAAGCCCCAGUUGCACAGGUGUGGCCUUUCCCCAUUAGACUGUAAACUCUGGGAGCACAGGGCUGGGUCUGUCUUUUAAUUGUAAGCCUGGUGCCUGACUCUUCACAGG